rnacentral:rRNA from 1 species
GGGAGAUUAAUACCAAGAUGUUAUCAUGAGUAAGCAUUUUCGCAUGAUUAAAGGUUUACCGGUGUAAGAUGGGGAUGCGUUCCAUUAGAUAGUAGGCGGGGUAACGGCCCACCUAGUCUUCGAUGGAUAGGGGUUCUGAGAGGAAGGUCCCCCACAUUGGAACUGAGACACGGUCCAAACUCCUACGGGAGGCAGCAGUGAGGAAUAUUGGUCAAUGGACGAGAGUCUGAACCAACCAAGUAGCGUGAAGGAUGAAGGUUCUAUGGAUUGUAAACUUCUUUUAUACGGGAAUAAACGGAUCCACGUGUGGAUUUUUGCAUGUACCGUAUGAAUAAGGAUCGGCUAACUCCGUGCCAGCAGCCGCGGUAAUACGGAGGAUCCGAGCGUUAUCCGGAUUUAUUGGGUUUAAAGGGAGCGUAGAUGGGUUGUUAAGUCAGUUGUGAAAGUUUGCGGCUCAACCGUAAAAUUGCAAUUGAUACUGGCAGUCUUGAGUACAGUUGAGGUAGGCGGAAUUCGUGGUGUAGCGGUGAAAUGCUUAGAUAUCACGAAGAACUCCGAUUGCGAAGGCAGCUUACUAACCUGUAACUGACAUUGAUGCUCGAAAGUGUGGGUAUCAAACAGGAU